rnacentral:rRNA from 1 species
AGCGAACGCUGGCGGCAGGCUUAACACAUGCAAGUCGAGCGGGCCCUCCGGGGUCAGCGGCCGACGGGUGAGUAACACGUGGGAACGUACCCUUUGGUUCGGAAUAACGCUGGGAAACUAGCGCUAAUACCGGAUACGCCCUUUUGGGGAAAGGCUUGCUGCCGAAGGAUCGGCCCGCGUCUGAUUAGCCAGUUGGUGGGGUAAUGGCCUAUCAAGGCGACGAUCAGUAGCUGGUCUGGGAGGAUGCUCCGCCACGCUGGGACUGAGACCCGGCCCAGACUCCUACGGGAGGCAGCAGUGGGGAAUAUUGGACAAUGGGCGCAGGCCUGAUCCAGCCAUGCCGCGUGAGUGGUGAAGGCCUUAGGGUUGUAAAGCUCUUUUGUCCGGGACGAUAAUGACGGUACCGGAAGAAUAAGCCCCGGCUAACUUCGUG